rnacentral:rRNA from 1 species
UACGUAGGGUGCGAGCGUUGCCCGGAUUUAUUGGGCGUAAAGGGCGCGCAGGCGGCCACGCACGUCCGUUGUGAAAUCGCCCGGCUCAACUGGGCGGGGUCGGCGGAUACGGCGUGGCUGGAGCAAGCUAGGGGGUAGUGGAAUUCCCGGUGUAGUGGUGGAAUGCGUAGAUAUCGGGAGGAACACCAGUGGCGAAGGCGGCUACCUGGGGCUUUGCUGACGCUGAGGCGCGAAAGCGUGGGGAGCAAACAGG